rnacentral:piRNA from 1 species
UGUGAAGUGAUUCUGAAGAAACUUAUGUGU